rnacentral:rRNA from 1 species
GGGUCAGUAGGUUGGUCGUGCCACCGGUACGUACUGGUCUCACUGAUUCCUCCUUCCUGAUGAACCGUAAUGCCAUUAAUUUGGUGUUGCGGGGAAACAGGACUGUUACUUUGAAAAAAUUAGAGUGUUUAAAGCAAGCUAACGCUUGAAUACAUUAGCAUGGAGUAGUGAAAUAGGACGAUCGAUCCUAUUUUGUUGGUUUCUAGGAUUGACGUA